GCGGGUAUGGUGUAAUGGCAGCACACGACCCUUCCAAGGUCUUAGUUCCGAUUCGAGUUCGGAUACCCGCU
rnacentral:tRNA from 1 species